rfam:Nomascus leucogenys chromosome 25, whole genome shotgun sequence.
GCCAGGCGUGGUGGCACGCACCUGUAGUUUGGCUGAGGCAGGAGGAUCGCUUGAGCCCAGAGGUUCCGGGCUAUUCCCGUUGGGUUUCCACACUAAGUUUGGCAUCAGUAUGGUGACCUCCUGGAGCAGGAGACCACCAGGUUACUUAAGGAGAAGCGAACUGGCCUAGGUUGGAAACAGAACAGGUCAAAACUCCUGUGCUGAUCAGUAGUGGGAUUGUGCCUAUGAAUAGCCAUUGCACCAUUGCACUCCAGCCUUGGCAACCUAGCAAGACCCAAUCUCUU